UACGGGGGGGGCAAGCGUUGUUCGGAAUUACUGGGCGUAAAGGGCUCGUAGGUGGCCAACUAAGUCAUACGUGAAAUCCCUCGGCUUAACCGGGGAACUGCGUCUGAUACUGGAUGGCUUGAGGUUGGGAGAGGGAUGCGGAAUUCCAGGUGUAGCGGUGAAAUGCGUAGAUAUCUGGAGGAACACCGGUGGCGAAGGCGGCAUCCUGGACCAAUUCUGACACUGAGGAGCGAAAGCCAGGGAGCAAACGGG
rnacentral:rRNA from 1 species